ensembl:misc_RNA Y_RNA Y RNA
GGCUGGUCCGAUGGCAGUGGGUUAUCAGAACUUAUUAACAUUAGUGUCACUAAAGUUGAUAUACCACCCCCCCCCACUGCUAAAUUUGACUGGCUUUAA